rnacentral:rRNA from 1 species
CACGUAGGGGGCAAGCGUUGUCCGGAUUUAUUGGGCGUAAAGAGCUCGUAGGCGGCUUAGUAAGUCGGGUGUGAAACCUCCAGGCUCAACCUGGAGACGCCACCCGAUACUGCUGUGGCUAGAGUCCGGUAGGGGAGCGUGGAAUUCCUGGUGUAGCGGUGAAAUGCGCAGAUAUCAGGAGGAACACCAGUGGCGAAGGCGGUGCUCUGGGCCGGAACUGACGCUGAGGAGCGAAAGCGUGGGGAGCAAACAGG